CGCACGGGUGAGUAACGCGUAUGCAACUUACUAUCAGGAGGGGGAUAACCCGGCGAAAGUCGGACUAAUACCGCAUGAAGCAGGGGCCCCGCAUGGGGAUAUUUGCUAAAGAUUCAUCGCUGAUAGAUAGGCAUGCGUUCCAUUAGGCAGUUGGCGGGGUAACGGCCCACCAAACCGACGAUGGAUAGGGGUUCUGAGAGGAAGGUCCCCCACAUUGGUACUGAGACACGGACCAA
rnacentral:rRNA from 1 species